AAUAUAGUUUAUAAAAAUGAAUUAAUACUAUACUUCUAAACUAAUGAUGACAUAGAACACAUUAUGAUGGGUGAUGGUUGGACAGGAUAACUGAGACAAUGAAUGAAAUGAUGGAAUGUAAGCUUGGAUGUUAUGUAGCAAAACCUAAUUAAGUAUCUGAGAAAUGUGUGAUGUCUGGGUUGUAAAAUCAGUCUGACUGUAUGGUUUAACAAGCUAUCAAUUAUUCAUAAAACCACCCAACGCCAUUGUGCAGAUCUACGAACCCCUGUGUGAUGGAAGCUCUCUGUGGUCCGGAUGAAAGGCAGCCAGGUUGGUGCGUGUUGUGUUCCCGACAGAAAAGACUAGAAACAGUGUGAAUGCUGUGAAAACAUCAUUGUAAAAUGCUUCUUUUUAUUUUUGAUGAAACCGGAGCUCGUGCUCUUAUUUUGAAAGGCACACUUGCCUUUCUCAACAACUUCCGGUUAGCUUAACGUGUGCACUCGUUUUUUUUCUAACGUAUGAAAGGAAGCUGAUAUAUGCUGAAUACGUUCAGAUUAAUAUAAGAGACUAACAGCAAGCAAAACUUGUUUUCUCCCCUCCCAUUCGGAGCUACAAGCAGGCAAAGUGGUUAGUAGACUUUGUAACCUUUAUUUGUGAUUUAUGUGUUAUAUUUAUGUAAACAUAUUGUUUAUUCUGUCGGUUUGUAGUUCUACGGUGGUUUAUGGUGCUGCAUGAUGCUAGCUUUGCUAGUCAAUAACGGCACAAAUAAAGAACGCCAUCUGUAAAAAGAACUGGAGUCCUCGCGUGCUUCGAUGGGCGGCAUAGUAGAACACUUCACCACGCAAAGGAAAGGUGAAGACUCCAUAUGAAGAGCGAAGUGUGCCAAACCGUUGAGGACGUCGGGUAGAGGAGCAGUCUGCAGUUGAAGAUACAUCGUGUCAUCUGGUGAACGUUGUGUUGAGAAGAUUAAAGAAGCAGUAUGGACAAAGCUUAAAAGGUGGACACGUUAAAGUAAACGGGUCAGAAGUAGCAUAAAGAUCCAGAACUGCCAUGAACUUUUCAUCACACAUUCCAUCGUGUACAUCUUAAAGGAGCAGCGAAGCUUCCCUUCCACUUGGCUACACUGCAAGAGCUAAGUAACUUUAUAGGCAAAUCCACUCAUCAAGUAAUUUGAUUAGGAAAAAAUAUAUAUAAAUAAAUAAUAAUGUUAAGGGUUUAUUCUCUAGGUUAUGCAUAUAAUUGCAUUGUGUUUGCAUUAAGAUUGUGUGGAGGUUGCUGGUAAUUGUAUCACAGGAGAUUCUUAUUUGUGUUUCUGCCAAAUGUGCUGUUAACAUUUAUUUUAAGUUGUUUACAUAAGAGUUUAGACACAAGUUAAGCUCAAGUUAACGGCAGAAAAUUGUUCAACCUUUAUCUGUUUACUGAAAUUCAUUUUAUUCCUUUAGUUUACAACUCUAGUACAUUUAUAGGCUUAAAAGUACACAGUCAGUAUGUCACAAAGGGGUGAUAUUGAAAAUAUAUGUACUUCACAAGAGAAAGCUGAUAUUAAUGAGCAAGUAGAAGCAACUACAAAGGAAAUGCAAGCUCAGGUUGAGUCACAUAAGCAAGCUAGUGAGACGGUCACAUCAACUGCACUAGACUCACUGUCUCAAACUAAAGAUCUCCCACAUUCUGCAUGCAUUAGGAAAAGUGAACGCAAACGAACGCUCACUGAAAAAGGACAAGCUUUAGCAGAUGAUCGACUGAAGGAUCUGAAGGCACAGUUCAACAGAGCUUAUGAGCGGUGGAAGCACAAAAUAAAUGGACUGAAAAAGGCCAUAAAGUACAAUGAUAAUUCUGAGCUAACGGAGAUCGUGAGUAAAAUAAAUACAACCCAAGUUGAGAUAGAUAAUAUUUAUCUUAAAAUAAGAGAUACUGUACAUCCAGAUCAUCCAAAUUCAGAAAUCCGCAGAAUCAACGAUACCUGCCAAUCGCUCACCAAGGUUGCAAAUAAAAAGGCACAGAAGUUUCUCAUCAAUGAUGGUACAGAAGUAUCAUCCUGGCCCGAUGUGGAGUCUGUGUUUGAAGCUACAACAUCUAAUGUCUCUUUAUCUUCAGGAAAGACCAGACAUUCAAAGGAGUAUUCGUACAGGUCACAAGAUGCUAGACAAGCUGCAGCAGAAGCAGCUGCCACAGAGGAAGUCCUAAAAAUAAUGAAAGCUCAACAUGACUGUGAAGAAGAAAUCUGGAGACUUGAGCAGGCAGAUCAAGUGUUGGCAGCUGAAAAAGAAGCAGAGGAAAUUAGGCAGAAAGCUGAAAAUGAGGCUGAGAAUGCAAGGAAAAGAGCUCAGUUUAUUGCAGAAAGUGCAGCUAGAAAGAUGAAGGUUGAGGAGAAGAAGAAAGAAGUUGAACGAUUAGAGGAACUUAAAAGGCUUAACGCAGCAAAGGCAAGGCUGAAAGUGUAUUCUGAAAUUGUUCAUAGUGACGAUGAAGAAGAUCAUCUGUUGCCACCUCCUCUACCACAAAAUCCAGCACUUUCUCAACCUCUUAGCUCACAAGAAAGGCAUCCUCAAAUCCUUCCAGCAAACCAAUCCGUAGCUCAACAACCAUACCAGGUUACAGUCACUAAAAGCUUUACUCCUCAUUCACCAAUCUAUACCUCAGUAUCUGUGCCACAAGCAUCUUCAUUUAAUAAACCAACUGUGAACUAUCAGCCCAAUCCCAUUCAAACAGUUACAUCAAACAACCCAAAUGACACAACCAAUGAAUUGGUUAAAACAUUAGCGGAAGCUAUCGCUGCAAAUCGAAUCCCAAUUCCUGAACCUGCUGUUUUCACUGGAGACCCCCUGAAGUACACUGAUUGGAAACUUUCUUUUUCCACUUUAAUUAAUCAGAAAAACCUUCCAAACCAAGAAAAACUGUUCUUCUUACGCAAGUAUGUUGGCGGUGCAGCAAAAAGAGCUAUAGAAGGUCAUUUUCUGGUUGGUUCAGAAACAGCUUAUAAUGCUGCCUGGAAUGUGCUCGAAGACAGGUUUGGCAAUCCUUUCCUGAUUGGCAAGGCAUAUCGUGAUAAAAUACAUUCAUGGCACAAAAUUGGCCCAAAGGAAACUGUGGAGCUCCGUGAGUUUGCAGAUUUUCUGAGCAGUGUGGAAUCAGCCAUGCCAUAUGUACAAGGAUUACAAGUUCUGAAUGACUGUACGGAAAAUCAAAAAAUAGCACAAAAACUACCAGACUGGUUGAGCUCACGGUGGAACAGAGCAGUCGUUACUUUCCAGGAUGAAAUCGGUGCAUUUCCUGACUUUAAGUACUUCGUCUCAUUCCUCAACAAAGAGGCUCGCAUUGCUUGCCACCCUGUUACAUCUUGGCAGGCUAUGAAUCUAAAGGGAGAGAAAUCAAGGUCAAGCGAGCAAGACAUAAGAGGAUCUCCAAAAGAUAAAGUUGGUGCUAAGACAUUCACUACAAACACAAGUGAAAGGAUAGAUAAGAAGUGUCUUUACUGCAAAAGGCCACAUCACACUCUCCAUAAAUGUCGCAAGUUCAUCGAAAAACCACUUGAUGAAAGAGUCAAGUUUGUACGGGAAGAGAAACUCUGUUUUGGUUGCCUUGAGAAUGGACAUCACUCCAAGGUCUGUAAGUCUAGAAGUACAUGUGACACGUGUAAAAAACCUCACCCAACGUGCUUACAUCAAAAUCGUGAAAAAAGGGAACAGAAGCAAGAAAAUAAUCCAAAACAAACUCAUUCAACUGAAAAUGACAAGGAUGGGUCUGAACAAGAUCAACCGAGGGUAAACAACCAAGACAAAGACAAGUGUUUUAAACCAAAGCAAACACUUGAGUCAGAUGGAGCUACUUCUCUAAGGAUUAUUCAAGAAAGGGGCGGAACUCUCACUUCACCAAUUGUUCCAGUCUAUGUGUCCUCAUUGACUCAACCAGACAAGGAAAUACUAGUGUAUGCUCUGCUCGAUUCUCAGAGCGACACUACGUUCAUCUUGAAGGAUGUAGCCGACACACUGGAUGCCAAGAAAGAUCCAGUAAAGCUCAAGGUGUCAACAAUAACAUCAAGAACAAAGGUUGUAUCCAGUGAAAGGUUGACUGGUCUGGAAGUGAGAGGCUUGAAAUCUGAAGUUAAGAUCAAGCUUCCAGUAAGCUACACCAGGGAGUAUAUACCGGCUAACAGAGCUCAUAUUCCCACAAGUGAAACCGCAAUGUCCUGGCCUCACUUAGAACAUCUUGCAGAGGAGAUGUCGCAAGAAUUAGAUUGUGAGGUAGGUUUGCUAAUUGGUUAUAACUGUUCUCAGGCUCUGGCUCCAAGAGAAGUCAUCCAUGGAAGUGAAAAUGAACCCUUUGCACUCAAGUCUGUGCUGGGUUGGAGCAUUGUCGGGUAUAACAGUACUGUCAAUGAUUAUGAAGAUGAAAUAGGUGUAAGUCACCAUAUCAUUGCUAAGCAAGUCAUACCACUUACAAUGCCUUCCUCUGAACUCAAGUCAGAAGUCCACUUUUCUGCUAGAACCCAAGUUAAAGAAGUUAUCUCCCCAUCAGACAUGAAAAAGGUUUUUGAGUCAGACUUCUCUGAAAGAAAGGGUGGAGAAGCUCCAAUAUCACAAGAAGACUUGCGGUCCCUUGCAAUACUGAAAGAAAGUAUAAAGCAGAAGCAGGAUGGACACUACCAGAUCAACGCACUAAGCCAAGAGGAAGAAGUCAAAGGGAACAAGUCAACUUGCCUCCAAAGGCUAAGCCCAUUCUUGGACAGACUGGGUAUCUUGAGGAUGGGAGGACGGUUGACCCAAGCCGCACUUCAUCCACAUGUCAGACACCCAGCCAUUCUUCCUAAAGGACAUCAUGUCUCUCGUCUCAUACUCAAGCACUGUCAUGAGAAGGUGUGUCAUCAAGGUCGUGGAAUGACAAUCAAUGAAGUUCGUGCGAAUGGCUUCUGGAUCCUUGGGUGUAAUGGUGAAGUCUCUUCCUUUAUCUUCAAGUGCGUAAAGUGCAGGAAGUUCAGAAGGUCUAACCAAGAACAAAAAAUGGCCGAUCUUCCCCCUGAGAGAAUGGAAAGUACACCUCCGUUCACGUACAGUGGAAUGGACUGUUUUGGUCCAUUCUACGUCAGAGAAGGAAGGAAAGAGCUAAAGAAAUAUGGGCUCAUAUUUACAUGUAUGUGCUCAAGAGCCAUCCACUUAGAAGUAUUGGAUGACCUUUCUUCUGAUGCCUUCCUGAAUGCAUUGCGAUGUUUCAUUGCAAUAAGAGGCAAUGUGAGACAACUUCAAAGUGAUCAAGGUACCAAUUUUGUAGGUGCGACAAAUGAGUUCCAAAACAUGAUGAAAGGACUACCAGAGGAACGUGUGAAAGAACUUGGAUGCAGCUUUGUGAUGAAUCCUCCUGCUUCCAGUCACAUGGGCGGCGUCUGGGAGAGGCAGAUCCGCACUGUAAGGAGUAUCCUCACCUCUAUCCUCGACCAAUCUGCAAGUCGAUUUGACAGCUCAUCACUGAGGACAUACUUAUAUGAGGUGAUGGCUAUAGUGAAUAGUCGACCUUUGACCACUGUCCAUCUCAAUGAUCCAUCAGGCCCGGAACCUCUGACCCCCAAUCAUAUCCUCACAAUGAAAUCUUCAGUCAUCAUGCCCCCGCCUGGUGAGUUUGUGAAGGAAGAUUUAUAUCUUCAGAAAAGAUGGAGGAGGGUUCAAUUUCUAUCAAAUGAGUUCUGGACCAGGUGGAAAAGGGAGUAUUUGCUCAAUUUACAACAAAGAAGAAAAUGGACUACUGAGAGACGGAAUGCUAAAGUAAAUGACAUUGUCUUGCUGUUGGACGACAACCUGCCAAGAAACCAGUGGAAGUUGGCAAGGAUAGUGGAAGUCUUCCCAGCUGCAGACAACAGGGUUAGAAAGGUCAAGCUGUUAGUUAGUAACACAUUUUUGGACAACAGAGGCAAGCACACAACCCAGCCACUUUAUUUAGAGAGAGCCAUACAUAAAACAGUGCUAUUACUUGAAGCAGAGUAAAGGGUUAUCUUAAGAAGGUGCCUUUGUUUACUGUUGGUAGUUUUUUUUUGUUGUUUAACAAGUUAUUGUAUAUAGUUUAAAUGAAUCACUUUGUGUGAUUGGUGGGAGUGUGAAUGCUGUGAAAACAUCAUUGUAAAAUGCUUCUUUUUAUUUUUGAUGAAACCGGAGCUCGUGCUCUUAUUUUGAAAGGCACACUUGCCUUUCUCAACAACUUCCGGUUAGCUUAACGUGUGCACUCAUUUUUUUUCUAACGUAUGAAAGGAAGCUGAUAUAUGCUGAAUACGUUCAGAUUAAUAUAAGAGACUAACAGCAAGCAAAACUUGUUUUCUCCCCUCCCAUUCGGAGCUACAAGCAGGCAAAGUGUUCUACGGUGGUUUAUGGUGCUGCAUGAUGCUAGCUUUGCUAGUCAAUAACGGCACAAAUAAAGAACGCCAUCUGUAAAAAGAA